CCCUCUAUGCCUGCCCAAUAUACCUUCCUGUAGGAGAAAUUGCCUGCCAGCUUACCCAAUCACAGGUGUGCAAGCCAGCCUCCAUAAGCAUGCUUAGCAGGCACUUCCUCCCUGAGCGAAGCCUGCCUCUGUGCCCAGAGACUGCUGACAAAGAGACACCUGACCCAGAGAUACCAAUGAGGAAAGGACAAUGCAGCAGAGUCAGCUGUCUGAGCCAGUGGGACCUUGGGAGGAGGUAUAAAGGCGGGCCUAACUUCCUUAAUAAAUGAGUCUGCAGCACGCUCUGCCACUCACUGACUCCCAGUGCCUGAGUCGCUGGUGCUGUGUCUUCUCACCCCCUCCGCAAAGGAGUAUUUGAGCAGAAUCACCUUCAACACCUGGUACCUAUACGUGGGGCCAACCCCCCUUGAAUCAGGGUCUUCUUUUCCUUCGUUGAGGCUGUUUUUUGGGUCCUGAUCUUUGCCUUCUGUUGCUGACAGUGCAUGGGUGGAUCCUAAGUCAACCCACUUUUACUUCAACUAUCAGCACCCUUUCGGACUCCUCUUCAUGCUUGCUGCGCAUUUCUGCACCCCUGCUUCGGUGACUUGUCCGAGAAAAACAUCUGUCAUUGAACCUGGGAUUCACAAAUUUGGAUGCAUUGCCCAGCCAAGGUCUCCUGGGAAAGUCCAAGAAUCCAGUGACUGUUCAUUCCAGGAGCCUGGUUGUUUCGGCUGGACUUCAAUAAAUGCUGGAAUCCUGAAUAAGUAGGCACUAACGCCAAUGAAGGAAUUAACUUGCUAGUAAGAGCAGGGCCUGCCUUACAGGAAAAAGCUAAUGCCUAUAUUGUAAAUCUGGCCAAGAAACCAUACCUCGGGGACUCAUGGGACCCAGGAGUGAACCUACUAUUUCUAAUCUGCUAAAGUACCAUUAUACUCCCCUCUAAAUCAUCAUCUUUAUAAUCACAGCCUCAUCUCAGACUCAGAGGAUGGGCCAUUUAUCCUGGGCCCUGUGUAAAACUCUACUGCUGUGUGUAUUACAUAAACAAAGUGUGAGUCACUGCAAUGUUGGGGACUACUAUGGUGUAAACUGACACAAAUUUAUGAAUGAAACCCAAGCAAAUAGUCUCCCCAGUCUCAGGAUUUACAAGGAGAAGAACAGGUAUGCCACGAUUGGCUUACAUUAAUUGCUCUGAACAGUUAAUUCUAAACAAACUACUUUUCUGACACAUGAGGGAGAACAGUGAAAUGAAUAUUUUGGAGAGCAUUAAAAACAAACUGCGUGAUGAACAAAGGAUGCAAAUGCAAUUCCCCAAAAUGAGAUUGAUCCAGCAGUCAACAGAAAACUGAAGAUGAGCAUAGAACUAAUGGUUCAUAUGAUUCUGCUGAGCUUAAAACUAUCCAUCAUAACAUUAUAAUUCACAUAUAUUUUAAGUAAAUAAAAUGUAGUAACGGGAAUUAACACAUAUGGUCAAGUGAAACUUGAACCUUUUGACUUGUUUUUCUUGCUUUCAGUAGUAUGUAUCUAAAGGGUAUUUUGUAAAAAAACAAAUGUAACUCCACAAUAUUUUGUUUUCUGUCAUUUUUUGCAUCAUUUGACAUUUAAGCCUUCUUUUUCCAGAUGUGUGAACUCUGACAAAUGACACAAACAUUGUAUUAAUUGGGCCAGAGGCAUAACUCCAUUGAUGAAGUGAUUGUUGGACACAUGUAAGAAUGUUAAUUUGGAUUCUUACCAACUUCAUAUAGACAUGGAUGUGGCAGAGCUGAGGAGGCAGAGAAUACAAUAUCGCCUGGGUUUGCUGGCCAUAGACUCUAUCCUAUUAGUGAGGGACCUUGUCUCAAAAAUAUGAUGGGGAAUAACAGAGAAAGACAAAGACACUUCCAACAUCACCCUUUGGCCUCCAUAAACAAUAGGUACAGGCUUUAUCUCUCUCUCCUGCCUGCCCACCAUCAUGUAAGCCACUAAAACUUCUAUACUUAGUCACUAAAUAGUUUCUGUCUUAUAUAUAAUGUAGCUCAUACUGUGGUUGCUAUUUCAUUCUUUCUUUUCUUUUGAAUUUUUUGUAUCCUCCUUCAACUUUCCCCCCACCUCUACAUUUUCUGUUGUUUGCCAUGCUUCAUCUGGUGUUCAUAGUUAGCAAGCAGGGUGCUAUUAUAUAGACUUUGUUUAUUGUCUUGUGUCCUCUCACACAUUAGCCAUUGCUAUUUUGUACAGUCCAGCAUUUUUGUAUUGUCUAAAUAUUUGUUAUUAGUGUUGCUUUCCAUUCAUGUUUAAUGAUUGCCUUUUAUCUGAGUUCAUCUGUUAACACAUUCUUUUAUGGUUCAAUACAAAUCUUCUUUGUUUCUAA